AUCCCAAACAGUUGACAUGGCAACUGAGAAUCCGGUGGGCAUCGGAGGUGAUACGUGGAAAUGUAAAGCAACUUAGAAGGAGACCUGCUGUAUUCGAAUCCUGUGUGUGCCAGCCAGUCAGAACAUCAACACUAAUUGAAAAAGCAUGCUGUAUUGCAAGGACUGCAGUCUCUUCACCUGGACCGAUGAGGAAUGAGGAUUUGAUUCGACGUGGGAUUUGGCAGGUUGA